rnacentral:misc_RNA from 1 species
ACCUCCUUACCUAAAUAAAACACGCUGAUGGAAACUUCCGAGUUUCGCGAGUGUUCACACAAAUUGCAUGAUAACCAAUGAUAAAGAAACCAAACCUAAGCAACUGCUGAAGUUAUUUAGGUUUGGUUUUUAACCAAAUCAUCGCCGAAUGUGAGCGAUUGAUUAGUUCUUUAACAAUCUGGAAAGCUGAUAUAAAUAUCGGUAUUUAUAUAGUGAAUCACGGUGUCGCGCUGAGAUUCACACCUUAUAUAAAUACCAACAAAAAACUCGAGCAGUUAUUCUUCGGAAUAAUUGUUCAACAUUUAAAUAAGUUCUACUCGAACUUAUUUAUCUUAUUCAAGACACAUUUAAUUAUGUGCGUGAAAAUGUCAGACUUUACAAUUACUGUGGUUUAGUCACCACGGUGUACUUUGUAUCAAAUCUUCGGAUGAGACUACUUAAGGUUGUAUGGUUAAGUGACUAAGCGUAUGUGGUGGAUGCCUA